AUGAACGCUGGCGGCGUGCUUAACACAUGCAAGUCGAACGGAAAGGCUCCUGCUUGCAGGGGUACUCGAGUGGCGAACGGGUGAGUAACACGUGGGUGAUCUGCCCUGCACUUCGGGAUAAGCCUGGGAAACUGGGUCUAAUACCGGAUAGGACGAUGGUUUGGAUGCCAUUGUGGAAAGUUUUUCGGUGUGGGAUGAGCUCGCGGCCUAUCAGCUUGUUGGUGGGGUAAUGGCCUACCAAGGCGUCGACGGGUAGCCGGCCUGAGAGGGUGUACGGCCACAUUGGGACUGAGAUACGGCCCAGACUCCUACGGGAGGCAGCAGUGGGGAAUAUUGCACAAUGGGCGCAAGCCUGAUGCAGCGACGCCGCGUGGGGGAUGACGGCCUUCUGGUUGUAAACUCCUUUCGCUAGGGACGAAGCGCAAGUGACGGUACCUGGAGAAGAAGCACCGGCUAACUACGUG
rnacentral:rRNA from 1 species